rnacentral:tRNA from 1 species
GCUGCGCUGGUCAAAGGGUUUAAGACGUCUCCCUUUCACGGAGAAGAUACAGGUUCGAUUCCUGUGCGCAGUACCA